UUUGCAGAUUUUGCCUGUGAUGAUGUCACAGCAAUGCUAGACGGAUCCAUCGACACACCAUUUGAUCCUGAAAGUACUUUUGCAACAAUAGAGGUGAAGAGGAUCAAAUACCCCAGGGCGAAAAGCCUGAAUGUUGUUUUGGUCACUCAAAAGAACAUUCAAAAGACAGACUGCACUAAUCCAUCUUUAAAGGAUUUACAGAGUGCGCUGGAUCAAGGAAUAACAUGUGACUGAAGCUCAGAUCAAGAAGUGCAGCUCCGAUCCAAAGAAACCCAUUGGAGCCUGUUGGUGAUGAACUCAAUAUCAGAUUGGACUGUGUGACAAAAUGACACACAACAAGCCUUACAAAUAUUUUGCCAAGAGUUUAUUUUUGAAAAGUCUUUGUAAAUUGAACAAUGUGCUAUUAUACAGUAAUUUAAAUAUACUGUAUCAUUAUUUUUGUAUGAGUUUGACAACAUGUGAAAUUACUCUUUUUUUAUGUAAAUGUCAAUGACCUAUUUUAACAGUGACAAUGCUGUUUUCGAUCUUUUUUGCUUUUUAAUUACGUUCAAUUGACAAUCUCGCUUGUAAGGUUUUCUGCCUUUUAUAUGAGAACAAUCUGAAAAAAACCUCUCAACAUUAUCGAUCCUAUUCUAUAAUAGAAAUAGAAAUAUUUUGGAAUAAGUCAUUGAAAUAAAUACGUAGAGAAAUGUUGAUAAACGUAAUAAUCCAUUAUUGUUUAAUAAAAUAAAAAAACAUUAAAAUAUGGAAAAAAAUAAAAUGUGUGUUGAUAAUAAGGAUAAAUAUGGGAUUUAUGAA